UACAGAGGUCCCAAGCGUUGUUCGGAUUCACUGGGCGUAAAGGGUGCGUAGGUGGUGAGGUAAGUCGGAUGUGAAAUCUCCAGGCUCAACCUGGAAAUGGCAUUGGAAACUACCUUGCUAGAGGGUUUGAGGGGGGACUGGAAUACUUGGUGUAGCAGUGAAAUGCUUAGAUAUCGUCAAGAACACCUAUUGCGAAGGCAGCUCACUAAGCUUUAACUGACACUGAGGCACGAAAGUGUGGGGAUCAAACAGG
rnacentral:rRNA from 1 species